CCUACGGGUGGCAGCAGUGGGGAAUAUUGGACAAUGGGCGAAAGCCUGAUCUAGCCAUGCCGCGUGUGUGAAGAAGGCCUUCGGGUUGUAAAGCACUUUCAGUGGGGAAGAAAGCCUUGGGGCUAAUACCCUCGAGGAAGGACAUCACCCACAGAAGAAGCACCGGCUAACUCCGUGCCAGCAGCCGCGGUAAUACGGAGGGUGCGAGCGUUAAUCGGAAUUACUGGGCGUAAAGCGCGCGUAGGCGGUCUGAUAAGCCGGUUGUGAAAGCCCCGGGCUCAACCUGGGAACGGCAUCCGGAACUGUCAGGCUAGAGUGCAGGAGAGGAAGGUAGAAUUCCCGGUGUAGCGGUGAAAUGCGUAGAGAUCGGGAGGAAUACCAGUGGCGAAGGCGGCCUUCUGGACUGACACUGACGCUGAGGUGCGAAAGCGUGGGUAGCAAACAGGAUUAGAUACCCGAGUAGUC
rnacentral:rRNA from 1 species